AUGAACGCUGGCGGCGUGCCUAAUACAUGCAAGUCGAGCGAACAGACAAGGAGCUUGCUCCUCUGACGUUAGCGGCGGACGGGUGAGUAACACGUGGAUAACCUACCUAUAAGACUGGGAUAACUUCGGGAAACCGGAGCUAAUACCGGAUAAUAUAUUGAACCGCAUGGUUCAAUAGUGAAAGACGGUUUUGCUGUCACUUAUAGAUGGAUCCGCGCCGCAUUAGCUAGUUGGUAAGGUAACGGCUUACCAAGGCAACGAUGCGUAGCCGACCUGAGAGGGUGAUCGGCCACACUGGAACUGAGACACGGUCCAGACUCCUACGGGAGGCAGCAGUAGGGAAUCUUCCGCAAUGGGCGAAAGCCUGACGGAGCAACGCCGCGUGAGUGAUGAAGGUCUUCGGAUCGUAAAACUCUGUUAUUAGGGAAGAACAAAUGUGUAAGUAACUAUGCACGUCUUGACGGUACCUAAUCAGAAAGCCACGGCUAACUACGU
rnacentral:rRNA from 1 species